GCUGACGUGGCGCGGCCGUUACCACGGUGACGCGGGAGAUUUAAAAGCGGCUGUAACUCGAGACAAGCACUCAGUUCCUCGGAUCAGCUGACUGAAGCCAGCUCGGCCGGAGCCGGGAGGGAAAUCUCGAAGCUACAGAGGCAAAGAUCGAAGCAGUGUGGUAAACUGCAUCUGCGUGAAUCCCUAAUAUAUGGGUGAAACCAGCAGGCUCAGUGAUGUUAUAGCAAGGACUGAACUCUGCAGUGCCUGCAUUCCUGCUUGUAUACCUCUGCCUGGGUGCUUUUCUGGGGAUCCUCCAGUCAGCAAGAUGAAUCCAGCUUUAGAUGAUGCACAAUCCCACUUUUCCAUUUUUAUCACAGCUUUCUGUCUUUCAAGUGUCAAAAUACUUCCGUCCAUCACUUCCUAAAGUCAUUUUUGAAAGACAGGUGUAAUGAAGGGAAGAAUAAAGUCUUACCACAUCUAUUUUGUUUGUAUUCAACGUUACAGAAAUUCAAUGCAGCUGCAUAUCAUCAUAAAUUUUCCACAGGUAUCUGGCAUUUCAUCUACUUUAUCCUCCUAUUAUCCGCUGUCUUGUAAACUGUAACAACACUAUGCAUCUGCAUCUACACACACAAGCUCUUUGACAACAAUUAAAAUUGGCAUGUAGAAGCAUUCUGAAAUUAAAUCUUAUAACUGACAGAAUGAGACACUAACCAAAGGGGUAUACAUUUGGGUAAUCCCUGUGCUGAAACACUGCUGGUCUGUCAGCCUCUGAAAUUAUUGGCAGUCUCAUAGCCCAUAUCUAGCAGCUGAGAGGAAGCUGUGCCAACCAGUGGCAGGCUUCAAUAGGUUUAGAAAAGCUGUCAGUGUAAUUGUCAUCUUUAACACUGAAAAGUGCUUAGAUGCCAUUGUGAUAAGUGUGAUAUAAACUGUGUAAAUAGGAAAGAGCCAGCAGUCUUGGAAAAGGCAUUCCGCCUUUGCUAUCCCCCAUUGUUUUGAACUGCCUCCAAACAGAAAGUUUAAAACAACAGACAAGUAAAACAUCCCAUCAAGUCCAAAGCAUUAUGAGAAUGAUCUCAGUGAAUUGCUCUGAUUUCUUGUGCUAUAGCACAUUGUGUAAUGGGGAGGUGGCAGAAGUUCCCUGAAUCAGAUGGCUGCAGGAUGGGACUGUCUCCUUGUCCCUGACAAUGGGAGAGCCAAGAAGCACCAGGGACAGAAAAACAAUUUUAGGAGUAUUUUGUGCUGUUGAUGUCUUUCUUUAUUGCGGGAAGGACAACAACCCCUUAUAUUCUCAAUGUUUUAGAUACUUCAGUGUAGUCCUUCAAACUAGCACAGAAGUAUUAAAGCUAUUCAAGUCAUGCUGCAUAGUGUGAGGCUGAUAAGUUGUGGUAUCUUUUUGGUUUUUUUUUGGAUAAUUACUGACUCAUUUCAUUGUUCAGUGCCAUAGUACUAAAUAGAACAAAUACAAGAGACAAUUGUGUGAAAGGUUUUCUGUAGUAAAGUAUCUGGAAGAAGUUGUCCUUGUGUAUUAACUAUUUGUUUAAAAUGGCCAAUUGGAAAAACGGGAAAGAGAACUAAUCCUGAGAAGCUGAUAAAGUAAGCUACCUACUAUGGUAACUAUGGUAUUACUAUGGUAGCUAAGAAAGACCGGUAAGUUUGCCCACAUUCCGUUAUGAGAAGGGCAUGUUUGAGGAGGGGUGGAUGGAACAGGUGACUAGAAUUGACCAACCAAAGUAUUCCAUCCCAUAAUCGUCAUACCCCCUAUGUAACAGGGUGAUCACAAGGGUCAAGCUCUCUUUGACCAUGGCCGGCAUCCAGAGAGGACCCUGCCUGUCUGCCUGUGAUUUACAGGCCUCAGGCCCUGCAUCCCUGCAACCAGUUUCUGGUUUGCUGUGAAGUCCCACCCAGGACUUCGGGGUGCCUGAGCUGCACCUGCUGGAGCCGCCAGCUCCGCACACCCAGCUCUGCUGCUGCUGGAGCGAUGCCCACUCCACAUUGAGCAUUCAAGAGUGGUUUUGUAUAUUUUGUAUACAUACUCUAUUUAUUAGUAGUAUUAGUAAACCCUUUAAAACUCUCCAACUUGAAGUUUAAGUCUCUCUUCCUUUCCUCUUAUCUUUCCUAUCAUCUUUCUGAUCUAAAGGGAAGGGGUGGCGGGAAGUGAGGGCAUAACAGGGAGCAUCUUCCACUGUUUAUUGCCACCUUGCCUUAAACCAUAACAGCAACUGAAUUAAGAAUUUUUUUAAAGUAUUUUAAAAUGACAUCUACAGCUCACCAAAAAUAAAAGUUCAGGGGAAUUUUAUAUGUAUUCUCCUUAGUGUACAUUUUAACUAAGGAUUAUGGGCCCGUAUCAGUAAAGUUAAUUAGGCACCUGCUAUGAUACUGUUGGCCAGUAUGUACCCAGUUCUCAUGCAAGUGUUGUAGAACUGUUGCAAACCUAACCUUGAAAAGGAUUUGAGUCUCAUGCAUGACAUUUGCUGAGGUACCUGCUGUUCUGCUUCCAGGCAAGCACAGCAUUUGUCUCUCAGGCUCAGGAAGGAUUUUGUUCUUAGUGGGUCUGCUCACUUCUACUCAGUCUGGCUCUACACAAAUUGCAGGAGGAGCCUGGCCAUGAGAUGGGGCUGGCAAGCACCAUCUUUGCAUGGAGUCAAGGAAGUCAAACCAUUGUUUGAGCCUAGGGGAGGAUACCCCAGAUGUUGAAGCUGCACAUGGUCUUUGCACAACCUUGUCUUCAAGCAGCUGAAUAUACCAAAGUGAUCCUCAGACGACAGACCGGAAGCUGGGCUUUUCCUUUCCUAACCUACAAAUUAAGGGGGCAAACUGGGACAGUGCUGGUUAUUAUUUAAGAAAAACAACAAAGAAAAACACAUUUUCUUGUUAGCUUCCUGUAGAAGAGUCUGUCUGCAUUAAAAUACCUAAUAAAUUACUUACAAAUCCUCAUUAUUAAAUGAUUUUUUGAAGAAAAAGUGUAUGUUUUUAGAAAAUGUUCUGCUCUGUAUUUGGAGCACAGGCAUGAUUUCAGCACAGGGCAUACCCUAAACUGUUACUAGGAUUGCAGAUAACAGUAGGGUCUUUUUCAAUCUGCUUGGUAAGAAAAGUGGAGCUUUUCCUUUGUACACAUAAUCUUUUGUCUUGUAUUUACAUAAUAAAUGGAGACUAAUCAAUGCAUUAUUAAAACAUCUUAUACAUAAAAUAACAAUCCAGAACCAUCUGCUUAUGAAGCCCCAUUUAGUAAAUACAAUACACUCUUUAGUUACUUGUGGAGAUAUAGCACAUGCAAAAUAGCACCAGUGUAGUUUCCAUAUUUUACUGACUUACAUAAAAAGAUAUAAUUUGUUGCCACAUAACACUGAAAUUCUUCUAAUGCAAACCCAAGUAAAUAUGUUCCUUUCUGGGUUUCUCUAAGAUUGUAAGUACUUUAUACUUCAUGGAAAUAAGGCUAACGAGUUACACAAGUUAAGUAACAUCUUUUUCUAAUUUCAGAAAUAGUUACCAUCAACCACUUGGUGUAGAUUGGUCAUUCAAUGUAUGUUUGAUGAAAAUAAAAUGUCUGUGCUAAU